GUGCUCACUUGGCAGCAUAUAUACUAAAAUUGGAGCAAUACAGAAGUUAUCAUGGUUCCUGCACAAUGAUGAAUUGCAAACAUGUGAAGUGUCCACAUUCUUU
ensembl:snRNA U6 U6 spliceosomal RNA